UCCAAAGAAUACAUGUUUAUAGGAUUUA
rnacentral:sRNA from 1 species